rnacentral:rRNA from 1 species
GUGAGGAAUAUUGGUCAAUGGGCGGGAGCCUGAACCAGCCAAGUCGCGUGAAGGAAGAAGGAUCUAUGGUUCGUAAACUUCUUUUGCAGGGGAAUAAAGUGCAGGACGUGUCCUGUUUUGUAUGUACCCUGAGAAUAAGGAUCGGCUAACUCCGUGCCAGCAGCCGCGGUAAUACGGAGGAUCCGAGCGUUAUCCGGAUUUAUUGGGUUUAAAGGGUGCGUAGGUGGUUUGAUAAGUCAGCGGUGAAAGUUUGCAGCUUAACUGUAAAAAUGCCGUUGAAACUGUCGGACUUGAGUGUAAAUGAGGUAGGCGGAAUGCGUGGUGUAGCGGUGAAAUGCAUAGAUAUCACGCAGAACUCCGACUGCGAAGGCAGCUUACUAAGCUACAACUGACACUGAAGCACGAAAGCGUGGGGAUCAAACAGGAUUAGAUACCCCUGUAGUCC